rnacentral:rRNA from 1 species
UACGUAGGGUGCAAGCGUUACUCGGAAUUACUGGGCGUAAAGCGUGCGCAGGCGGUGAUGUAAGUCAGGUGUGAAAUCCCCGGGCUUAACCUGGGAACUGCAUUUGUGACUGCAUCGCUGGAGUGCGGCAGAGGGGGAUGGAAUUCCGCGUGUAGCAGUGAAAUGCGUAGAUAUGCGGAGGAACACCGAUGGCGAAGGCAAUCCCCUGGGCCUGCACUGACGCUCAUGCACGAAAGCGUGGGGAGCAAACAGG